AUACGCAUGGUCUAAAAACAAAAACUAACGAGUUUUUUUUUUAAAAAAAAUUUAUAUAUAUAUUCUCGUAAUACAUGGGAUGUUGUAGUCCUGAAAGAAGCGACGCAAAAAGUUGAAAAAAAAAAAAAUAGUCUCUCCCGCGCCCACACUUGGACCAAUCGCUAUCGUAAUGGUAUUGGUACGAUGCGCUUCGCCUCUUCAAUGUUGCGACUGAGGCCGUGAGAGGGUUUUGCCAACUCAAGUUGAGAUUCUACAAACAUGAUGCACUCUGUAAAGGGUGGCUGGGGGCAGACGUUUGCGCUUGCUAAACACAAUGAAUCCGAAGGGAGAAAGACUCGGAUUCGCCGCUCAAAGCAGGAAAGGAAGGCAAUGGUUGAAUCCUUUAUAAAGAAGUACCAAGAGUCGAACAAUGGAAACUUUCCAUCACUUAAUCUUACACAUAAAGAAGUUGGUGGCUCUUUCUACACAGUACGGGAGAUUGUACGUGAUGUAAUUCAAGAAAAUAGAGUAUUGGGUCCUGCUAAGUUCACUCUAGAGGAGCUAAACACUGAUCAAUUUUUUGAACAAAAUCCACUGGGUUCAAUUGCCAGAGAUCCUCAACCUUUUUUGGCUGCAUCUUUAAUUGAAAACCAUUGUGAGCUUGACAAACUUCAGGACACAAACAGCAAGAUGAUUUCCGUUUCUGAUGUGUCUUAUACCGAAGCUGUGCACCAGCAGGUGGUUGACAAAGGGGAUGUCAUAAGUGUUGGCCAUGUAGACGUGACAAACAAGGAAUCCAUUGAAGCAGCUGUUGUUGUUGAUGGGUGUGAUACUGGAGAUGAGCAUCCAAUGUUUGACAAAGGGCAAACCAUGAAUGUUAGCCAGGUAGAUGUGACGAACAAUGAAUCUGUUGAAACUGCUGUCUUUUCUGGAGGGUGUUGUUCUGGAACCGAGCACAAAAUUGUUGACAGAGGGCAUGUCUUAAAUGGUAGCCAGGUGAAUAUGAUAAACGAGGAAUCCAAUGAAACUGUUAUUCCUGAGAUGCAGGUAGGUGAUCCUUUGGCACUCAAUCAGAAUGUUGAACAAGAGUUGGCAGUUGCCACAACACCAAUGGCUAAAAUAACUGCUGUGACAGAAGACUUGGUAGUAGAGACAUUUCCAUUAAGCUGUUUCUGGGACUACUGAUCUGGGAGGGUUGGGGGACUCAAGUAAUUCACCAGAAAAUGAUAUAAAAAAGUUGAAAUUGAAACAAUGCGAGAAAUUUGAGUAUGCCCCUGGAAAUCAAAUAUUAGAGGACUCCUCUAAUGCUGGGCUUGAUAAGGAGGAGAAUGUACAGGAUAUGUUAGAAGAAAGCUCCAAUCAUUCUACCCGCAAAGAACUUUUUGAUCAUCAUGAAUUUGAAGAUCGCAGUGAUUCUCAAGUUAGAGCAUAUAAUCAAAAUAUCAUAACCUUCAAAACCAUCAGCCAAAGCCAGAUGAUAGAUGGAGUUAAGACAAGCACUCAAACCAAUAACCUCAGCAAGACUUGUAAACCUUCAGAGGAAGAUGGUAGCCUGCUAAAAGCUGAUAAACAUAGAGUUGAUGAUCAACUUGGUGGCAACUCUCAAAGAAGAAGCAACACAACUGUGGAUAGGAUCAAUCUAGAAUCCUGGGAUGGAGCAGCUAAGAAUUCUGCAAAGCAAGAACCUAACCCUCUUUUAGCUGUUUUGAAAGUUUUUGUUGAUGCUUUUGUGAAAUUUUGGUCAGGGUGAAGAUAUUAAUGUUUGUUUCUUUCUCUUCUGUUGUGUUGUCUAUGUAUGGUGAUGGUGGAGUUGAUUUUUUGUACCUAACAGAAUAAUUUUGAUUUAGCCUUGAUCAUUUAAUGAGCUCAUCAUUUUCCUUUAUAAAUUACCACGAUCUUGUUUUCGUA